rnacentral:rRNA from 1 species
CCUACGGGAGGCAGCAGUGAGGAAUAUUGGUCAAUGGGCGUAAGCCUGAACCAGCCAAGUCGCGUGAGGGAUGAAGGUUCUAUGGAUCGUAAACCUCUUUUAUAAGGGAGUAAAGUGCGGGACGUGUCCCGUGUUGUAUGUACCUUAUGAAUAAGGAUCGGCUAACUCCGUGCCAGCAGCCGCGGUAAUACGGAGGAUGCGAGCGUUAUCCGGAUUUAUUGGGGGUAAGGGGUGCGUAGGCGGAGGGGUAAGUCAGUGGUCAAAUUGAGGGGCUCAACCCCUUACCGCCAUUGAAACUGGGGCUCUUGAGUGGAAGAGAAGUAUGCGGAAUGCGUGGUGUAGCGGUGAAAUGCAUAGAUAUCACGAAGAACCCCGAUGGCGAAGGCAGCAUGCCGGCUUCCGACUGACGCUGAAGCACGAAAGCGUGGGGAUCGAACAGGAUUAGAUACCCCUGUAGUC